GUAAUUGCAUAUUGAAGGUCAGAGUAAGCUGUUCUGUUCCCAACAUUUAAAUGUAUCUAUCUUCACCGAUACUUUGUUAAAACAAUAUUGGUUUAAGUAUGUGCUUUUAAAAAAACCCCGACUUUUGUUUUUAUGUAUCGCUGGUUCUGAUAUUUUGGGAGACUUGGGGCCAGCCUAGGCUGGAUCCUGAGGCAGGAGGAAGUGAUUGCCCUGACUGGGUUUCUGGCAGCAGAGGGUCACUGCGUGUGCGCCUGCAGAUGUGGUAACAUGAUCAGUCUUGGCAGCUCUGCUCAGCAAAGUUGUACCAGUGAGAUUUUUCACUCUCCUUAUUUUGUCCUAAAUCUCUCUGUGCAAAGGCAGAUAAGGUCAGCCUAAAUCUAUGGACUUCAGCUGGGGGCUUCAGCAAAUCAUUCACAGUACGAAUUUGAGGAACUCGUGAUUGGGUGACUGGCAAGCCACCACUCUCACCUGGGUGUGGGGAUGUUGCUCGUGUUAAACUGCGCAUGAGCAGAUUUUGCACUGUGGGCAAGAACUGGGGAUUUGGAUUGAACCGUGGGUCUCUGCUGCAAUUCCCAACAUCAGUGUGGAGUGAUAGGGGCAUGGCUUUGGGAUUCUAAAGUCGAGGAUUCAAAGUUGAGGAGGGGGAUGUUUAGCUACUUGACUUAGGCUUUGCCUUCAAGACGUGGCUGCUGCAUGGACUGGUGUUUCAUCAAACACCUGCUUUGUUCCAAAGCUGUUUAAAAUGGCACAGUGGGAGACUGUGAACAAGGAAAAUUCUCCGUGGUUUCGUACCUUGGCUUGGGAAAGUGCCAGUUUUAUGUUGACCACGACUUGUGGAACUGAGAAAUCUUUUUUUUGUGCCACUGUGAGGUCCAUUUUUGAGUUGACUCUUCAGGAGCAGGAGGCUGCAGGCUUUGCUUCGAGGUGGGGUUCACUGCUUUGUUCCUGCUGCUCCAGAGCUGGUCUUUCCUGGUAUGUAAGCCUGCAGGCAUGACUCAUGGGAGCCUUUCACAACACAGAAAGGUCUUCCCAGAGGAAUUCCAGCUCCUCCAGGCAUUUGCAAAGGAAAUUCUUAAUUGGAUUAGAUUCAUAAUACUAAUCUGCUAAUGACUGUUUGUUAUGGAGAUCUUGGCACUAUCUUGUAAAUAUAUUCACCUUCCUUUAGCUGCCUUAUGUCUUUUUAUCACAUACAAGCUCAGCGUUGUUAAGAUUGUACUGCCUUGUACUGCCGCCAGCAGAUCUGAUAGUUGGGAAUGGGCGACUACUGUGUUUAUUACACAAGAUCUUAUAAAGCUCAUAAUUCUUUCCUCUCUCUCUCUCUCUCCAUUUCACGGUGCUGUUUAGGUGGGGUACUAAAAGGGAAGCAGUGGUAAUUGGCAUGUCUGACAUCCGGCUGUACUUCUCUUACCAUGGGUGUGAAGGACACCCCGGGUGGGGAGUGCCUCUGUGCAGUUGUCAGUGACAGAACUGUGUAUUUUUAGUAAGAAUCAGGACCAAACAGGCAUUUCGUCCCUCCCAAAAAGGGCCUUUAUGGGAUGUAGGUGCUGUUGUGGUGGUGUGAGGAACACCUGCAGGAGAGCACUGCUCCUGUGUUUCCCUGUGUAAGAUUGAGUCAAUUUGGAAUUUCAAUUGUAACAUCGGUACUGAAACAGUUUUUCAACACUAACAUAAAUUCUUCUAUUUAUUGACCCACACACCAGUGGAUGUUAAACUGCUUUUGUUGCUAGACUGACUCACUGGUAUGUGUCAGGUUUUUGAGUUUUUCCUGUGCUCUGCAGCCUUUCUUAAUCCUUGAGUCAGUAGCAAAUAGCAGGAAUCUGUUGUGGAGAAAGGGAGCAUUUACUUCCAGAGCAGGAAAGAGGUAUAUCUCCCUGAAAGCAAGUGUGACAGUCUGAAUAUUUAGGAAGUGCUGUCUGUUGGAAUAUAAAUUAUGUGAGAAGGAUGUACCCAUUUUGUUUUUUUAAACCACUCAGGAAGUUCUUUUGGACUUGUGAAAAUGCAAAUGUAUCUGGGGAUAUAACAUGGCUUUGUUACAGGGGUAUGAAAGAAGUGAGUGCAAGCAAAAAGCAUCUUGCCACGUCAGGUUACUGGCUAGACUUGUGAUUUUUGUGACACAGAUUGUCAGAGCUGGCUUUUCUUUCUUAUAGUAAUCGAUUUGUGCUGUCUCCAGCUCCACUGCUCGCUAGAUGUCUGCCCAGCUUCCUCGAAGGAACACUGCAGUAUCCAGUAACUCUCAGAUCUUGAGCACAAAAGGCAAAGAGCAUCUCAGCCAGCUGGGGGGAAUCGAGUGCCUGAACCCAACUCUAGCCCAUUUCUGCUGACGUCUGCUCUGCAUGAUCACUGGAAGCAAACUAGAUGGAGCUGGAGAUUACCGACUUUGAACCCUGCAGAAAGCACUGGCCUGAGGAUACAAUUUAGCAGGCUGAAAACCCCAUGCUGAAUUUCUGGCAAGCACUAGUGAUUGGUGUGAAACACCUGCCUGUACAGCCUCUGACUUUGGGCACGGCAUCAUGUGAACUUCCCAGUGAUCUCUGUCUAGAAUAGCAACAGGAGCAAGAUAUGAAGGUGAUCUGGAAAAGGCAGAAAAGAAUGUAUGCCCUGCUCUAAGGAUUUUUUGUUGGGUUUUUUUUUUUGGUGGAUAUUUCUGUCUCUGCUCAUUUUUCUCUCUUCCCCAGCGUUCUUGGGAAAGCCUAGUCCACAUGUAGAUGUCAGAAUUACACUUCACUUGUGCCUGUGUGAAGACAAAAUCAUGCUUUUGCUUUUAUGGGUCUGCCCUUCAUCCUCUUCUGAUGUGCUGCUUUCCUUUUUUCCACCUUAUUGCUGCUGUCCUUUCACCCCUGUCUCCUUUGAACACAUUCAGUAUGGCCAGGGCUGAAUGUGUUCACUUCUCAGAAACCUCUCAGACCUGUGUUUUGAUUAUUUUUUUUCCCACCAGAGAUGUCUCUUCAUUUAUUGUUCUUUAAAGACAGAAUUGGAUGAAGUGAUUCUCACCAGGGCUGUGUUGUUCCUCAGCCUCCUUUCUUUUCCCUGAUGCUGCCCUAUGUGUCAUCCUGCUUUGAGAAGAUGACUUCUAAUCUGUUAAGAAGAUGGUGCUAUAAAGACCUGAACACUUAAUAAUGAACCUGGACAUUGAAUUCAGGCUAUUGUUGCUAUUGUCUGCAGCACAGGCAUGAGUGAUGCCUGGGAAAGAAACUGGAGUCAGGAUGUGCAAAAUGUCUGAAUUUCUGUGUCUGACCUACAUUUUUCAAAGUCAACAAUUCUUCCAUCAACUUCCAUAGUUUCUGAUUAUAAAUACAGAGCUGGAUGGUUCCCUAUACGUUUCAAAUAUCAGAGUUCAUAACCAGUCAAACUAAUAAAAAAAUAAGAAUCAAAAACCC